rnacentral:SRP_RNA from 1 species
CGCGCGGGUAGGGCCGGGGGGCUCGCCCUCCCCCGUACCCCGAGAUCGGGCGCAACGCGGGGGCCAGUAACCCGCCGUCCGCUCGCCGCUACCCGCCACGGGUCCCACGCCGACCGAGGACCCCCGGCCCGCGGGGCCGGCGGUGGCGGAGCCCCCUCCGGAGGGAGGGCGGCUACCGCCUUUACCGGGGGAAGCGGUCAGGCCCGGAAGGGAGCAGCCUAACCCCGGACGCCCGGCGUUCGCGGGGCCACCGGGGUGAGGCAACGGCGUGGGGGUGCCCGUGGCGGGUACGGCGGGUGACGGCGGGGGCCGCGCG